UACGGAGGAUGCGAGCGUUAUCCGGAUUUAUUGGGUUUAAAGGGUGCGUAGGCGGAACAUUAAGUCAGCGGUAAAAUCGAGGGGCUCAACCCCGUCGAGCCGUUUGAACUGGCGCGCUUGAGUUCAGGCGAGGUAGGCGGAAUUCGUGGUGUAGCGGUGAAAUGCAUAGAUAUCACGAAGAACUCCGAUUGCGAAGGCAGCAUACCGGCGCCCAACUGACGCUGAGGCACGAAAGCGUGGGUAUCGAACAGG
rnacentral:rRNA from 1 species